rnacentral:miRNA from 13 species
UGGGAGAGGUCCCCAGGUGGCAAUGG